UCCAGAGUUUGACGCGCUAGAAUGUUUUCUGAUCAUCAUACUGGCCUUUCAAACUCUUGGG
rnacentral:pre_miRNA from 1 species